rnacentral:rRNA from 1 species
GGAGGAAUACCGGUGGCGAAGGCGGCCCCCUGGACGAAGACUGACGCUCAGGUGCGAAAGCGUGGGGAGCAAACAGGAUUAGAUACCCUGGUAGUCCACGCCGUAAACGAUGUCGACUUGGAGGUUGUGCCCUUGAGGCGUGGCUUCCGGAGCUAACGCGUUAAGUCGACCGCCUGGGGAGUACGGCCGCAAGGUUAAAACUCAAAUGAAUUGACGGGGGCCCGCACAAGCGGUGGAGCAUGUGGUUUAAUUCGAUGCAACGCGAAGAACC